UUCCCGAUUUUAAAGGAGUUAAUGGUUUAUGUUGGUUGGUGUUUCAUCAUCAUCAAUAAUGGGUUGUUGGUAGUGAUAUGUUAUUCGUCUUUGUUGGUUUCUGGUUUUUCAAGAAAUGAAUUUAAUUCAUGCGUUUUGUUUAAAGUUUAUUGUUGGUUUAUUGCUUUUUAUUUGAUGUUAAGGUUAGGGGGGACUAGCUCCUUAUUUUAUUUUUAUAACUUUGUGUUUGGUUAUUUAGCUUUGUGGAUUUUAUGGUGAUUUUCAAUUUGAUUAUGUUAAAAUUUUAUUUGUUCUUUUUUUUAUUUAUUUGUGGUUUGGUCUAUUUAUUGGAAUGUUUUCUUUAUUUUGUUUAUGGUUGGUAAUUAUAAUGGAAUUAGUAAAUUUUAUUUUUAUAAUGUUUUUUGGUGUUAAUUUCUUUUAAGGAAUUAGGCAAAUAUUUUUAUGUCCGCCUGUUUAACAAAAACAUCUUUUCUUGUUAGUCUCUGAAGUAUGGCCUGCCCGCUGACGUAUAUUUGAGUUGAAGGGCCGCGGUAUUUUGACCGUGCAAAGGUAGCAUAGUCAUUAGUUCUUUAAUUGUGAUCUGGUAUGAAUGGCUUGACGAGACAUGGGCUGUCUUGAUUAUGGAUUUAUUGUUGAAUUUGGAGUUUAAGUUAAAAUUCUUAGAUGUUUUUAUGGGACGAGAAGACCCUAUAGAGUUUGACAUUUGAUUGUGUAUUUCUCAUUGUUUGUUUUGAAUUUUUGCAUAUCUUUUGUUUUGUUGGGGUGAUGGGAGGAAAUUAUUUAACUCCUCUUUUAUGUGGUAUAUUGAUUUAUAUUUAUUUUGAU
rnacentral:rRNA from 1 species